AUUGAACGCUAGCGGCAUGCUUUACACAUGCAAGUCGAACGGCAGCACGGACUUCGGUCUGGUGGCGAGUGGCGAACGGGUGAGUAAUACAUCGGAACGUACCCAGUAAUGGGGGAUAACUAGCCGAAAGGAUAGCUAAUACCGCAUACGCCCUACGGGGGAAAGAGGGGGAUCGCAAGACCUCUUGUUAUUGGAGCGGCCGAUGGCGGAUUGGCUAGUUGGUAGGGUAAAGGCCUACCAAGGCAACGAUCAGUAGCGGGUCUUAGAGGACGAUCCGCCACACUGGAACUGAGACACGGUCCAGACUCCUACGGGAGGCAGCAGUGGGGAAUCUUGGACAAUGGGCGCAAGCCUGAUCCAGCAAUGCCGCGUGCGUGAAGAAGGCCUUCGGGUUGUAAAGCGCUUUUGUCAGGGAGCAAAUCCUUGUGGCUAAUACCCACCGGGGAUGAGAGUACCUGAAGAAUAAGGACCGGCUAACUACGUGCCAGCCGCCGCAGUAA
rnacentral:rRNA from 1 species